UACAGAGGGUGCGAGCGUUGUCCGGAAUCACUGGGCGUAAAGGGUGCGCAGGCGGUUGGGUGUGUCAGAUGUGAAAUCCCGAGGCUUAACCUCGGAACUGCGUCUGAAACUACUCGACUAGAGUACUGGAGAGGGAAACGGAAUUCACGGUGUAGCAGUGAAAUGCGUAGAUAUCGUGAGGAACACCAGAGGCGAAGGCGGUUUCCUGGACAGUUACUGACGCUCAGGCACGAAAGCAUGGGGAGCAAAAGGG
rnacentral:rRNA from 1 species